rnacentral:tRNA from 1 species
AUUUUAGUAGCUUAAUAUAGAGUGUGACGUUGAAGUUGUUAAGGUAACAUUUAGUUCUAAAAUG